CUAGGCUACGCUAAUGACAUGACUCACUAGCAGCUUGUGAAAGGUUGGCUCGAUAGGUGCUUGAGAGAAGACAACCUAUUUUGGGUUGGUUUUGGCCCGCGAGGACUAGGGGUAUGAUUAAUAGGGAUAGUUGGGGGCAUUAAUAUUUAAUUGUCAGAGGUGAAAUUCUUGGAUUUAUGAAAGAUUAACUUCUGCGAAAGCAUCUGCCAAGGAUGUUUUCAUUAAUCAAGAACGAAAGUUAGGGGAUCGAAGACGAUCAGAUACCGUCGUAGUCUUAACCAUAAACGAUGCCGACCAGCGAUUAGGAGACGUUGAAUACAAAACACCACCAUCGGUGCGGUCGUCCUUGGCGUCUGGGUUUCGGGCCCGGUGCGGGGACGGCUUAGCCCGGUGGCACCGGUGAAUGACUCCCUAGCAACUUGUGAGAAAAUAGCUGUCCCCUUCUGGGAAAAUUUCAAAAAACGGCGAGGGAUAACUUCCUGCUGGCCCCGGGACUGCUAUAGCGGCGCUUGGCCCCGUCUUAAUUUAAUUUAGCGCCCGCCCCCGCCGGCUUUUUUUUAAGAAGGAUGUGAAAGCCCACCCUCAACUAAGGGAUGAAAGACUGAAACAGGAGGCUAAACUCCAAAAAAGAAAAUUGAAUUUACAUCUCUGGCUUUCAAAUACAUAUAGAUAAACUAAACACAAAAGGCAACUGCAACUUUAUAUUUUGCCCUUAGCUCAGACCUGCGAAGCGUAGACAACAGAAUAUCCUUUAAUUUCUCACCCCCCACACUACGAGACAAAAUCUGAGAGGAGUUAGACCCUUUCCUCCCCCUUCCCCCCGCAGCACA
rnacentral:rRNA from 1 species